rnacentral:rRNA from 1 species
UGCGUAGGUGGUGAGGUAAGUCGGAUGUGAAAGCUCGGAGCUCAACUCCGAAAUGGCAUUGGAAACUACCUUGCUAGAGGGUUGGGAGGGGGGACGUGGAAUGCUUGGUGUAGCAGUGAAAUGCGUAGAUAUCAAGCGGAACACCAGUGGCGAAGGCGAGUCCCUGGACAACUCCUGACACUGAGGCACGAAAGCUGGGAGCAAACA